AAUGUUUGGCGCCGUUGACUUUUUAGCACAUGUUUGACCGUUCGUCUUAUUCAAAAAAUUUAAGUAAUUAUUAAUUCUUUUUCUAUCAUUUGAUUCAUUGUUAAAUAUAUUUUUAUGUAGGCAUAUAAUUUUACAUAUUUCAUAAAAAUUUUUGAAUAAGACGAACGGUUAAACAUGUGCUAAAAAGUCAACGGCGUCAAACAUU
rfam:Oryza nivara chromosome 3, whole genome shotgun sequence.